rnacentral:rRNA from 1 species
CAGCCGCCGCGGUAAUACGUAGGUGGCAAGCGUUGUCCGGAAUUAUUGGGCGUAAAGCGCGCGCAGGCGGAUCAGUCAGUCUGUCUUAAAAGUUCGGGGCUUAACCCCGUGAUGGGAUGGAAACUGCUGAUCUAGAGUAUCGGAGAGGAAAGUGGAAUUCCUAGUGUAGCGGUGAAAUGCGUAGAUAUUAGGAAGAACACCAGUGGCGAAGGCGACUUUCUGGACGAAAACUGACGCUGAGGCGCGAAAGCCAGGGGAGCGAACGGGAUUAGAUACCCCCGUAGUCCCUGUCUCUUAUACA